AGAGUUUGAUCCUGGCUCAGAACGAACGCUGGCGGCGUGUCUUAAGCAUGCAAGUCGAGCGGCAAGGCGGGGCAACCCGCCCUAGAGCGGCGGACUGGUGAGUAACACGUGGGUGAUCUACCCUUGGUUUGGGGAUAGUCCGUGGAAACAUGGGGUAAUACCGAAUACGACGUCAUGGCUGCGGCCAUGACGGGAAAGGCGCUAAGGCGCCGACCGAGGAUGAGCCCGCGUCCCAUUAGCUAGUUGGUGAGGUAACGGCCCACCAAGGCGAUGAUGGGUAGCCGGCCUGAGAGGGUGUACGGCCACACUGGGACUGAGAUACGGCCCAGACUCCUACGGGAGGCAGCAGUAGGGAAUAUUGCGCAAUGGACGAAAGUCUGACGCAGCCACGCCGCGUGGAUGAUGAAGCUUUUCGGAGUGUAAAAUCCUGUCAGUGGGGAAGAACCGGUCGGGGAGUAACUGCCCCGGCCCUGACGGUACCCGCAGAGGAAGUUCCGGCUAACUCCGUGCCAGCAGCCGCGGUAAUACGGGGGGAACAAGCGUUGUUCGGAUUCACUGGGCGUAAAGGGCGUGUAGGCGGAUUUGCAAGUCAGAUGUGAAAACCGGCGGCUCAACCACCGGCCUGCAUCUGAUACUGCUAAUCUUGAGUACGGUAGAGGAAAGUGGAAUUCCAGGUGUAGCGGUGACAUGCGUAGAUAUCUGGAAGAACACCGGUGACGAAGGCGGCUUUCUGGACCGAUACUGACGCUGAGGCGCGAAAGCCAGGGGAGCAAACAGGAUUAGAUACCCUGGUAGUCCUGGCCGUAAAC
rnacentral:rRNA from 1 species